rnacentral:sRNA from 1 species
UCACCCAAUCCACUAGGACCAGACGAU